AGCGCUCUGGGAAUCCUGACUGGUCCGAUGACUGAACCGAGGGAGAAUGGCAUUGGAAAUUUCAUAGUUCCCCAUGGAUGCUGUGUCUGGUGACCUGAUCACCAAUUUAAGACAUAUUUCUAAGUGGCUUGGGUUUAUUCCCUGGAAGACAUGGUUUAUUCCCUGGAAGGCGUGGCUCCCAGUGCAUGAACUUGCAGGGCCCACUCUGUACUCUUCUACCCUCCUCCCUCAAAGCCAUAUACUUCUUUCAAUUUAGGCUUGUUUAUGGUCAGUCAAGUUUUUCCAGAUUGACUAAAGGAGCUCUUCAUAUGCCUACUGCAGCCAGUUACAAGAGCAGUAAGAGACCUAGGACUUGGGCCAGCUGGAAGAGUCAGUAGAAAGUUUCUGUGGGAUGCAGACAGCUAAGGAAUGACAAUCACACGCGAUUGUCCUAAUCCCCAUGCAAUUGUCCCAAACUCCACAUCCCUUCAUCCGCCAUCCUGAUUCCCUUCCACAAAGGGCUUUGGGAGCCCUUGAAUGGGACAUCACCCCAAGGAAAUGAAACUGCUGAGAACAACUGUUACUUCUCCUUCUUCCAUGUGUCCAAGGGUUAAAAACACUUCCGAACUCCCCUUCCAACUGCAAGGUCAAGCAGCUGUCCAAACCACCCAAGGAGAAGCAGGAGACCCGGACAGCUGACCCCAGCUAGCUCGGCCAGGACAGGCCCCUACGGCCGGUGCAGGAAGAGUUAAUGGGCGAUCAGCUUUGGCUGAUAGCUGAGGCUCCAAAGUUCAGUCCCAGUCUGUGCCACCCCAGAGGAAUUGUAAAUCUCAGGGCAGUAUUUAACAAAACAAAAGCAACCUGGAAUUACAUGCAGGUUUGGUUUUCUACAGUACAUAUUUACUUAAUCUCCUAGGGUUUGCUGGAGACACCCCGGCCGGCCCGCCUCAAAUCUCUCUCCAUUGCUCUAGUCACUGGGUUUCCAGACACCUGGGCCUCCAAGUGCCUGUCAGACCAGGCCAGACCAUCCAAGACAGACCCCUCCUUUUCAAACUCAAAGCAAGUAUCUAUCCCCGGUCUUUGAGCCUCCAGAGCGGCAGCAGCCCAGGUUGGGGCUGGCAAGCGGGUUGCCAAGGAAAAUAUGAAGCGCCAGCUAGCAGGCUGCUCCCAGCUCUACCGAGGAGCGCACACACCCUGCACUCAGCAGGGUGGUGGCAAAGAGGGGAAGACGAGAGGGGGAACACAACACCUUCCUCUGGGAGGAAGCAAUGUGGGAAAUGGGUGGGUCUCCUAAGUUUCGGGGUGGGGGUGAACAGCCCGCCAGUCAGUCACGGAUCCCAAAGGAGUGGAUCUUCUGACUUGACAAAAAAGCGACAGUCCGGUACCCGGGAAAUUUACAAUGUGAAACUGACUAGCUCAGCAUUUGCGGGUGGCGCAGAGAAGUCGGGUGGCCGGCGACCCUCAGACCCUGGGCGCGGGUUCCAGCAGCGGCAGCAGGUGGGCGCACGCCCUCACCUUCAGCCCCCACCCCCUGGACUCGCAGUUGC